GCUAUCGCUUCGGCGCAAGCGCCCUACGCGCGGCAGUCAUGACAAAUUUCCGCCAGCAGCGCGGUAGAGGGAGAAGGAAGGGACACUCUUGGUGGGGACGGCGACACGAGCGCAAGGAGGCGCUAUGGAGACGGAGGAAUGGCGUCUGAGGCGAAAGCGGAGAUUGGACAUGAGGCUCACCCAAUCCACUUUAGCUUGACCCCAGGAGCAGCAGGACAGAACGCAGCCCUUCAUUCCCCAAGGCGCUUUUUAAAGCCCAAACCUUGCUUCCCUGGAGCCACAAAUUGCUUUUCUGGAUUUAAGCCCUUGCUUUUUUUCCCUCCUAACCGUGCAAGUCCUAUAGGACUUUGUUCGGGAAGUUAACUCAGAAAUUUUUCUGUAAUAAGUUGGGGUCUCCUCAUGCCUAGCACCCUCUUUUGGACCGUCUUUUGGCAAAUGUAUGCCUUGAGAUCCAAAGAGGGGAAAUGAUUUUCUGAAACUGUGUAUAGCAUGUUGGAACCAGCUGCAGAGGAGCAAGUGGAAAGAGUAUUUUAUUAGGUAUCAGCAUAUUUGAGUAUUCAUCUACUGUGUCCUCGCUAUGGACUUGGUUAGAUGUUCACAAAGUGUUUUUCUGGAGCAGCAGCAGCUGCAUCGCCUGGGAACUUGAUUAGAGAUUCAAAUUAUCAGACCUCAGAGUUCCCGUCUUGGCUCAGCGGGUUAAGAACCCUACCAGUGCCUAGAAGGAUGUGAGUUGGAUUCUUGGCCUCGCGCUGUGGGUUGAAGGUCCGUCCUUGCUGCAAAUUCAGGCAUAGGUCACAGAUGUGGCUCGGAUUCAGUGUGACUGUGGCUGUGGCCGGCUUCUGCAGCUCUGAUUCAACCCCUAACCCAGGAACUUCCAUAUGCUGUGGGUGCAGCCCAAAAUGAAGGAAAACAAAACAAAGCAAAACAUUCUCAGACUCCAUCCCGGACCUACUAAUUGGAAAUUCUGGGGCAGAGUGCACAAUCGGCAUUUCAAUAAGUCCACCAGGUGGUGCCAUGCUUGCUGUGCUGUGUAACAAGGCACUUCAUUCCAGUGAGACUCCCUGCUGGCAUGCAGUGUUGGAGACAGACUGAUCAUUCUAUCAUAGAAUAUUGGAAGAAUACUUAGCCUGGGUCAAAGACAGAAAAGGCCUCUCAGUACAGCCGUACACGCAAAGGCAGCAGCAGACACUAGUUGAGCUGCUCACUUCAAUCCUGGCUAGAUGUGCAGGGGAGCCCCAAAGGAAAAAUAAGACCAAACAGCUGGGUGGAUGAAGGAACCAAAGACCUUUGAUACCAGGUAUCAUGCCAGCUAUCUCACUUGCAUUAUUUUUAAUCUGCACACAAGCCUGGAAGGUAGUAAGCAGCGUCCCCAAUGUACUACAGAGGGACCUGGAACCCAAGAGAUGAAAGAACUUUCCCCAAGUCACACAGACUCUGAGUGCAGAGCUGGGAUACAAACCCAGGUCUUCUGGCUUCAGGGGCCCCACUACGGUUCUCGUUCUGGUUUGCCAUGGACAGCUAAAGUCAUCAUCAUAGUCCUAAAAGCAAACACUUGUCCAACACAAAAUACACCAGGUGCUCUUCUGAACACUUCCCAUCUAACUACUCUUUUCAUCUUCAGCAGCCUAUGAGACAGGUUCUGUGAUGAUCUCCAUUUUAUCUGAACUGUUGAAGAAACAGAGGCCCUGAUCAGAGGUUCAGUGACUUGCUCAAGGUCACAAGUGCAAAGGCUGGGAUGUGAUCCAGACAGCCUGGUUCCAGGCAACUACCACUGUCAGGUAAAGAUAAAAGACUGAAGAAGAGUCAGCCGUCAGCUGGAGGCCUUUUCCUCUGGCUCAGAUGCUUCCCCUCUCCACCCUGCAGCUGCCUCCUCAGCUACCUGUGCUGCAGGAGCGCAGGGCACCUCUCCCCCCAACCCCAGGAUGCAAAGGGAAAUGUGACCUGGGGCAAGUGGGGUAGGGACCCGUGUUUCUGUUAGAAGAGCAGUUUUGGGGAGGGGGGCCUGGCAUUUACUAUCAGAUGUGUGGGCACCCAGCCUCAAGCUGCCCCUCCCAUUUUGGCUUAUAAUUCCGAGAACAGCAGAAAAACACUCCGCCCCCAACACAGACUCUCCCACAUGCUCACCCUGGUCUGCAGAAAACUUGGCAGCCUACUUACUGUCUGUUUUGUCUUCUUGUCGAUAGAAACGCACGGCUGAGGGGAGCUGGGCAAGGGCCCUCAAGGCCUGAGUGCACCCCCAGCGCCAGCUGUGAUAAGGGGCCGUGCAGAUUUUCUGCAGCCUCUUCCAGCUGCCUGACCCAUGCCUAAGUCAGGGAAAAAGCUUGUGACUUGCCCCAACUCAAGGUCCUUGGGGAGGUGGCAGGAGAAUGCCAAGGUGAAUUCUUUAUUGAUAUGGCAAAACACAGGCUGGGUCCCUGAAGCCUGUCUCUACCAUGACACAGGGCCCUCUCUCAAAGACUGCCCUGUUAGUACUUUUUUUUUUUUUUUUACAUCAGUGGCUGAGAUAAAGGACAUGGGAGGAAUCACCAUGGCAAAUCAGAGUGGGAGGGCACUAGGGAGCUGAUGAAGGCCACGAGGACUGGAGCUUUCAUUUUAUUGUCUUUUCAACUGUGAAAGACAGAAGCAAAAGAGGGGAGGGGGGACAGGGAGAGACCUUCCCCAAACAUCACAGCCCCUCCAUUUGUGUUGUGACCACCCUACCCAGGUGUUCCUCAAGGCAGCUGGCUGUACUAGAAUCACCUUGAGGGUGAUUUUAGAAAAAAUCCAUUAUUUCUCAUCUGCUUCCUAGGUGGUGGGGUCAGGACUGUGUGUUUUUAAACAAGCUCCCCGGAGUUGUGCCUCCGAAGUUUAGGAACAAAUGGUUUAACCCGUUGGUUUAACUUGUGCUUGUGGGACAAGCCCUUUAUUUAAGCAAAAAAGCUUACACAGAAGCUCAAAAAAUAUGCACAGCUGAAGGGGGGGGGGCAGAGGUUGCCAGCGGGAAGAAUCAGGAGGCAGCCAGCUUUGGAGCCAGAGCAAGGAGAGCAGCUGCGAAUGAUAAAGGUUCAGUGAGGGCAGGGCCGAGCAGGCCACCUCAGCUUCUGCAUCAGGCUCCUUUCCUGACCCUCGCAAGUCCCAGAGGGACUUCGGCCCUUCACCGCCCCAUGGCUUCAAACCUGUCAGGAUUCCAUUCACAGGCAACCUACCAGAGCACCCCAGCUGACACCACAUCAGUAAUAAUUACCGAAUUCUUCAUCCUUUAAAUAGUCUUCCCUUCCCCAGACGGGAUAGUGCCCGUUCUGUUGUGUUUCCAGCACACAGCACUGGGUCUGGACAGAGCACACCCCCAAUCAAGACUACACAGUGAAGAAAUGGGCAGGAACCCUCCCUGCCCCUCCAGCUUCCCCCCCCAACAGGCAGCCCCUAAGAACGCUUAGAAACCACAGCAACCAAGUCACGGGGACCUGUGAAAAUCCUUCACAAAUGACUUUUUUUGUUUUACUCUCCCAACUGCCUAGCCCCAGGCAAGUACCAGCAAACCAGUUAGUUAAAUGACUCAUUGACUUGCUAAUGAGAUCGCUCCUGGGCCUGUUAAAGGAGACAAUCAAAAGGGACGUCCCCGGGAGAGAGAAAACAAGCUUGGCAAAAGGUUGACGCUCGUCGGAGCCAGGUGAUUGGUGCUAGGGGUGCAUUAUAAUAUUCUCUUAUUUUUGCAGGUAUUUGCAAACGUUCUUAAUAAGCAAUGGAAAUUUAAAAAAUUAAAUACCGGAAAAAGAGAUACCUCCAGGGAUUUAAACCAAACUUUCCUGACUGAGGAGCCACUGCAUUUCCUCACUUCAGAGGUCCUGCCAACUGACAUUUCUAACACCUUUUUCCUCAUUUUCUUUCACUUCAGCAUUUACCAAGCACCUAUCAGAUACCUGACACUGAGCAGACACUUAGGAUAAGGUGAAAAAUAAGACUAGGCCUCUGGAGUUAAGUGUGAUCUGAAGAGCAAUCAGGUAAGUACAAAUGCAAUCAGGUAAGUACAAAUGCAAUCCAGGUGCUGUGGGAGCGCACAGCUCCUCUAGAGGUCAGGGGUGGGAGCAAAGUGGUCUCGGGUAUCCAUGGGUGUGGCAGGAGUAUGGGGGGGUGAGAGGUGGUGUGGUAGGAAUAUGGGGGGGGGGCGAGGGAUGAAGCCAGAUAUGCCGACAGGGACAGAUAAUGUCAACAGGUUGGCAGAAGCCACUGUUUUAAGUAGGGAAGUGCCAGAUGAUGACAGGUUGGACCAUGUAAGAAAGAAUCCACAUCCCAGAAAUAAAUUAAGAGGUAAAUGUAUAUAGGAAACUAUGAGAGCUGAGAAAGGGCUGUCAGGGAACCCCUCAGAAACGGAAGGACCCAGUUUGGAGAAAUUACCCAUGAAACCUUCAAGCAGAGAUGUACGGCUGGCCAUGCUUAGGAUUCAUGGUAGUUUCCGUCGAGGAGUGCCAGAUGGUCCCCACGGCUCUGUAACUCAGCACAGCUCUAGAGCAGCGCGGCCACCACUGGAACCCCUCCCACCAGGGGAAGCCAGGAUCCCACCACCCUUCCUAUCUCUAGCAGCUAAUCAUUGCCCCAGACCUACAUUUCUGUACGUGGGAUCUGGGGAUAUACUGUCCUAGGGGCCCCCUGGUUCCCCACAAGAAUGUUUUGGUUUUGUGUUUCCAUUUCGGUCCCAAGCAGGAGGGCCAUGGCCUCAGGCAACCAGACUUGCUCAACUCCAGGGCCAGUGCCUCUGUCUUACUACACACCACAGUGCAGUCAACAAAACACCAUCCACCAUUUGACAUAAUGCAGUUAGAUGGAAUCUCACUGGUUUUACAUUUAUUUACCUUGGAAAACUUUAGUUAUUUUAUAGUUGUGUAUAAGAGCAAAAGAAAAGAUUUUUUUUUGACCCAGUUUUAUGUCUGUACAUGCUUAAGUCAUGUGAUAAAAAUUAUUUAAGUCAACAUGUUGAGGGAGGCAGAUCCAUGAAAAAUAUUUUCUU